CAGUCUGCCACAAUCUGGAGGGAGGCAAAAAGAGAAGAUGCCUUAUGUCUUCCAUGCUGUGUAAAGCUGACCUGGUUAUUUUUCAAAAACUGCCAUAUAUUGCAGGUUUACUCAGGCGCUCCAGUGGCAGCACUGAAGGUCAAGGACACCCUCUCACUGUCUGAUGUGUGCCCUCAAUUACCCACAAGCCAUCUGUGCACUCUCUCCCCCUCUUUCUCUCUCUCACCUUCAAAGUGAAUGUGGUGAAGAUCUAGUAUCAUUUGACGGGGAGGCACUGGUUGAUGAUUUUGGAAAUCUUCUAUGGAAUCUUCAACUGGCAUUGGAACUUCCAGUCAUUCUGAGGAACAGAGCAUGAAGUGUUCAUGUGGCCUACGGGUCGAGUGAAGUAGGGCACAAACAAUAACUGACGAUCACAUCGAAUCAUGUGCUGUGAUGGAGGAAACCAGCUGACUGCAAGAGCCCAGAGGACGGAAAGAGAAAGAGACAGACGCAAGAAGGGAAAGAGAAUGAGAGAGAUGGAGAUAAGAAGAAUUUAUUCAUGUGCUUAGUCGCUUUAUCAUCUGACUUUCCACAAAGCCCAUCAAACCUCCCCGUAUCUUAAUGGUACAUUCCAUGACUAUGCAAUCCAGCGUACCGAUUAGACCGUAAGAGACUGAAUGAUGAUAAAUGAGGAGGACGUGUUUGAUUUAUGAUGGGGGACUUAGUAAACUGACAUGUUGUGUCUCUCUAAUGACUCAGUUGCUGAUGAAUGCUACAGGACCAUUACACCAUUCCACUACAAAACGCCACUUUUCCAAUUUUCCACUUUAUCCAAUCAAUUCUUGAUAGAUAAAACUAAGUCCUGUCUUGUAUUUUCACACAGAAUAUUCCAUUUCAAUCAGAAAUGUUUCAAUGCUGUCAGCAUGAAAUGACAAUUCACCCCAUCUAUUUUCUAAACGCAUGCUAUAGAUCUUAUUGUGAACAAUUUAUCUAUGUAUACAGUAUACGGUUUCAUUUUUAAAAAAAUGUUUCAUAAUGUGGAAUCAAAAUGUCAUAACUAGACCUACUGGUGAAAACAAAAGACAUGCACACCUCAAAAUCCAAUUAACAACCAAUGCAUACAUUCUUAAAAAAAUAAAGGUUCUUUUUUGGCAUCUAUAGUUCCAUGAAGAACCAUGGAACCUUUCCAUUCCACAACUGUUUUUUUUUUUAUAGUGGAAGUUGAGAAAGGUUCUUAAAUUUAUUUAAAAAUACCAGAGUUGGGCAAAACAAUGUGAACAUCUUGGAAAUAGUCACUAUUUGCUCAUUAAAGUGUUUUACCACCAUUUGCCUUUAAUACAGCUUCCAACCUUCUCAGAAUAGACACGUACAACUUUUGAAUUUCUCCAGUGGAAGGGUGUCUAUCAGAACAUCUGCCAAGUGCUUCAGAUAUGCUGGAGGAGGGAAUCUGAUUCUCACUCUUCCAUCCAAAACUGCCCACAAGGGUUUGUACAAUCUUGAAGCGUUAGCCAUGUCACAUAACAUGUUAUUACUAUUAUAUAUACCUAUGUUAUAAAUAGGUAAUAACUUAUUUACGUGAUUGAUCUGGCUUGGGCAGAUGUUGAAAUUCAUUGUGGUGUUCCAUCUCUCCAGGUUUUGUGAUUAUGACACCAUCUAUUUCACAGUUUGAGAUUAAUGUUUUAGCAAUUGCAGCUCUUUUAUGGAUGUUGGAUUUGUGAAGUUUUCUAUGGUUGGUUUUUGUGGAAACUGAGUC